rnacentral:rRNA from 1 species
AGCAGCCGCGGUAAUUCCAGCUCCAAUAGCGUAUAUUAAAGUUGUUGCAGUUAAAAAGCUCGUAGUUGAACUUCAGGCCUGGCUGGAUGGUCCGCCUUCUGGGUGAGUACUGUCUGUGGUCGGGUCCUACCUUCUGGCGAAGCGUCAUGGCCUUAACCGGCCGUGGCGGGGAGCCAGGACUUUUACUGUGAAAAAUUAGAGUGUUCAAAGCAGGCACGCGCUUGAAUACAUUAGCAUGGAAUAAUGGAAUAGGACAGUGGUUCUAUUUGUUGGUUUCUAGGACCGUUGUAAUGAUUAAUAGGGAUAGUUGGGGGCAUUAGUAUUCAAUUGUCAGAGGUGAAAUUCUUGGAUUUAUUGAAGACUAACUACUGCGAAAGCAUUUGCCAAGGAUGUUUUCAUUAAUCAAGAACGAAAGUUAGGGGAUCGAAGACGAUCAGAUACCGUCGUAGUCUUAACCAUAAACUAUGCCAACUAGGAAUCGGG